GUUACUGGCCAGGUUGAAGAUGGCCGGGAACAGGCCUGUGUAACCCAGGGUAAAAACUGCCUUAGUCCCACCUUUGCUACUUCAUUGGUUAGAGUGACAGUCAGUCACACAGUGCAAUCAGCCAAUCACUGCACCUGAAGUGGGUUUUUCAGGCCUGCUCCAGCUUUCCCAAUCAGCUGUGAGAGGGAGAGCUGGAGACAAAGGAGCUGCAGAUCUGAAUAUCCAGUGAGCUUGGAGCCAUGAAGCUGCCAUGCACUGAUCUUUAAAAGGAAUUGGCCAGGUGAUUUCCCCUUUUUGGGGUUAAAGGAUGGCGAGCUUCUAAGAUCUGGCUGGAGCCAGGAGAACCGAAUUUCACUCCAUACUGGUCUGGUAGGAGUUUGAUGGUCCAUGAACUUUCCCCUCCUUCUCAUUACACAGACACACUACCCAUUAUUCACCCUUUCCAUCAGAGCUGAAUUGCGCUUGGACAUUUUCCCUUAAAGUUUCUGGAUAAACAAACUAUGGACUUUUAAAUGUGUGUCGGUCAGACACUGUGUUGACCAAGCGGGGAAAAGUGAAGGACUCUGUGCACAUUAGAACAUCAACUGCAGUAUUGUGUAUAUAUUUAUUGUAUUUUGGUUUCCAUGUA